rnacentral:rRNA from 1 species
GACGAACGCUGGCGGCGUGCUUAACACAUGCAAGUCGAACGGUGAAGCGCCUUCCUUUUUGGUUUGUGUGGAGGAGUGGCGAACGGGUGAGUAACACGUUAGUAACCUGCCCCCUUCUGCUGGAUAACCGCGUGAAAGUGUGGCUAAUACGGGAUAUUCUGGGUGGGUCGCAUGAUGGGUCUUGGAAAGAUAUUGUUUCGGUGGGGGCUGGGCUCGCGUCCUAUCAGCUUGUUGGUGGGGGGCUGGCCUACCAAGGCGGGGACGGGUAGCCGGUCUGAGAGGGUGCACCGACACACUGGGACUGAGACACGGCACAGACUCAUGCGGGGGGCAGCAGUGGAGAAUAGUGCACAGUGCGCGAGAGCCUGACGCAGCGACGGCGCGUGAGGGAUGGAGGCCUGCGUGUUGUGAACCUCUUGCGCCAGUGAAGCAGGCGUGCCUCGUUUGUGGGUGGGUUGACGGUAGCUGGAUAAGAAGCGCCGGCUAACUACGUG